UCUACGGGAGGCAGCAGUAGGGAAUCUUCCGCAAUGGACGAAAGUCUGACGGAGCAACGCCGCGUGAGUGAUGAAGGUCUUAGGAUCGUAAAACUCUGUUGUGAGGGAAGAACAAGUAUUGUUCGAACAGGGCAGUACCUUGACGGCACCUCACCAGAAAGCCCCGGCUAACUACGUGCCAGCAGCCGCGGUAAUA
rnacentral:rRNA from 1 species